CUGGGUCCACAUCACUGGCUGCCACUGGUGGGAAGUGGCCUCUUGUAGGCCAGCAUAAGGUAGCAGACAGCAGGCUCUAACUGUGGGAUUUAGUAGCAGAUUGCAUAAGCCCUUCUGGAUCAUUGGGAUAGCUCAUAGGCAAAGGGAACAACGUGCAUGUCUCCAAUUGCUCUACAGCGCCACCCUGAUAUUGGUGGAGAAAGCAUGUCACAGCUUGUCCGCCCAACCAGCAAACACAAUCUUGGUAGCCAAUCUGGACCCUGGUGGCUGUUUCAGUUGCUUAUCAGCCAAAGUAGCUGUUUUACCAGGUACUUUGUUUCCUCGCUGGUUGAGUCCUGUCCUGAGCUUUGUCUUACUUGGAAGCUGUACCUGAAUUAAGCUCCAAGCCAUCCAUUCUCCAGCCAUCCAGUCUGUUCCCCAGCUAGUCACCAUCUCUGACACUUGAUAAAAUGGGUUCUAUUUUUUUCCUUUUUAUUAAUACUUUUAAGUAUUUGAGCUAUACAGAAUACAGUAAAGUGAAAAAAGAAAGAAGGUGCAAUAUAUGGACGCAUACACACACACACAGUAUUGCUAAUACAUAUAUUAUUAUUAAUAACCUACUACAUUCUGUAUAAACUCGUUCCAAAUAUCAAUAUAUUUAUGCAAACAAAGUCUGCAUCUAUAACUGAUCUGUUCAUAUGUUGCAAGUGCUGCCAUGUCUUCCAUCCAUUGAUUAAAUGGGACCAUAUUUUUAUUUUUCCAGUUCAUCGAUACUAGUCUUUUGACCAUAGUUAGGGGCGCAUAGAAUCCAUUCCCACUGUCCAGUUGUCAACUUCCAUAUAAUAGGUAUAUAAUUCAAGAGAAUAUUUUCCUCUGAAAUCUUAAGUUUUUUCAUACAGUCAAAUUUAUGCAGUUGGCUUCUUAAUGAGCAAAUAUUUUUGGCUUUCACUUUCUUAGCUAGGUGGUCGCUGUUUUUAUGGAUGGUUAUAUUUACAGUGGGUUUUACUCGGGUUAAGUACUUAAUUCAUUCCGGAGGUCUGUUCUUAACCUGAAGCACCACUUUAGCUAGUGGGGCCUCCUGCUGCCGCCGCACCACCGGAGCACAAUUCUCAUCUGUUCUUAACCCGAGGUACUAUUUCUGGGUUAGCAGACUCUGUAACCUGAAGCGUAUGUAACGUGAAGCGUAUGUAACCUGAAGCAUAUGUAACCCGAGGUACCACUGUAAUGGAUUUUAUUCUGUGUUUUGCCAUGAUACUAGUACCGAUGAAAGGUAAGCUAUGAAUCUUUCAGAAUAACCAAAUGAAUAAAUAAAUACAAGCUGGAAUAUGCAAUCCCAUAUACAAUAUGAUCUGACAGAUAAGACGGAAUAAUUAUUUGUUUAGUUUCUUACAUUUAUAUCCUCCUGCUCUUCCAUCAUGGAAGCCACUGGAGCAUAUAGGUGAUUCCUACAUUGUCACCCAUCCAAACACUGACCAGACUUAGAACUGCUUAGCCUUAGCAAGGUGGUGGCUUCAUGUGCCUUCAGCCCAUGCCCUUGGUCCAAAUAAUACUAGUUCAGUUACUCAGUAAAAAGAAAGGUAGGGUCUCACACAUCAGGGAGAAAUACAGAAUGUAUACUAUAGGACAGGACUAGAUGUUAUUUUUAUGCCUCUGUUUUAUGACUGUUACAAAAUUAUCUACAUAAGAAUAGAUGCAAGCAUGGGGAUGAGAGUAAUGCUAUUUUUUUCUCAUCACCCACUGAGCAGAACGAAUGGCAAAUUCUGCAGGUGAAUUUGAGGGGGCUAAACAUACUUGCACAUUUCCCCAGCUGCUCGUUUCAUAUACUGUACAGUAUAACAGAAAGAUAGCUAGGGUGUAGAGGGGACUCACGAGGAUACAUUUCCAUGUAAUCCAAGUGCUAAAUCUUUUAACCACCCUGAAUAUGUUGGACAGGAAGGCCCUGUAGCAUUCUGCUUCUACUUCAACAAUCUUUUUGUCCCCAAGGAACAGCUUCGUUUUGCUUUGUGUAACAUGACAUUUCACCAACACUGAGCUUAAAAGAGUUGUGAGAUCGUGGCUGGCGAUUUACAGAAAAUACAAAGGAGCAUUUUGGUUGGCAAUAUUUACACUUCUUCUUCUUCUUUUUAAUGCUUAGCCGAAGAAAUUUGUUUUAAUGCUGCCAAAUGGGAGUUUUCCAUCACUGUCAGUCACUUGCAUGAUAUAGCUUCAUUGAGAGCAUUCAUUGAAGUGGGGGGCAGGAAUACUAAGUAAACAGUGGUGGAAAAUGUUAUUGCUUAUUUUGGCUGGAUAUAUUGGAAGCCAUAUUUUAUUAUUUUGUUUUAAAUGGAGAAAAGGUGAAGCCCUCAGACUUAACUAAUACAAAUGUAUAUAAAUCAUCAAAAUAAAUGAAUAAACCCUGUGGGAGAAACAAGACAAGAAGAAUGAUUAUACUCUUUCUCUCUCUUUAUAUUAGGGAAUCAAUAAAACAAUGGCCUUUUUAUAGAUAUGGCAAAGGCCUGACUUUUGUACUGAUUUUGCAGGUAGGAAAUACUAUUUUGUGCAUGAAUUUCAAUUAAUUGAUUAUGAUUUUAUGUAAACUGUGUUAUUUUUACCGUUGUUAGCCGUUCUGAGCCCGGCUUCGGCUGGGGAGGGCGGGAUAUAAAUUAAAAAAAUUAUUGUUAUUAUUAUUAAAACAACUUCUAUUCAAAGCUAUUACAUUACCAUUGUGAAAGAGGGUCCCCCCAAGGCCUUAGGUUUUGGUGAUUUUAUUUUGGAUUUCAUUUGUCUUGGCAGGGCUAGCUAAAAUCUAAGGCAAAGUAUACACUGGGGGGCUGAAAUCAGCAUAUACACUGGAUGCACAAUGAACUGACAUGAUGAAGCAAGUUCAAAGUAGGCCCUGAAGGGGAAGGCUGGGGAAACAGUAGGUGAGAAUUACUCAUGCUCCUUUCAAGAGAACAAGGAAAGCCUAAGAAGUCAAAGGAGGACCACACAGAGAACGGGAAGGAUACAUUUGUGUGUGAAGAAGUGGGCCGAGGAAUCAGUUUCUUUUGUCAGCAUGUCAAGCAAUCUUCUCCUUGACUGGGGACCCCCUAAGUAUACAAGCAGGAAUCCGCUCUGUGUUGAGA